rnacentral:rRNA from 1 species
UAAGCGAAUAGUGAAAUCUGGGGGCUCAACCUCACAGGCUAUUAUUCGAACUCACUGACUCGAGAACAGCAGAGGUAACUGGAAUCUCUGAAGUAGGGGUAAUAUCCGUAGAUAUCAGAAGGAACACCAAUGGCGUAGGCAGGUUAUUGGGCUGUUUCUGACACUGAGGCACGAAAGCGUGGGGAGCGAACCGGAUUAGAUACCCGGGUAGUCCACGCCGUAAACGAUGGAUACUA